UACAGAGACCCCGAGCGUUAUCCGGAUUUAUUGGGCGUAAAGAGUCUGUAGGCGUCCUGUUAAGUCCUCGGUUAAAUCCCAUUGCUCAACAAUGGAUCAGCCUGGGAAACUAGCAGGAUUGAGGUUGGGAGAGGUAAGCGGAAUUGCCGGUGUAGUAGUAAAAUGCGUUAAUAUCGGCAAGAACACCAAAGGCGAAGGCAGCUUACUAGAACAUACCUGACGCUGAGAGACGAAAGCGUGGGGAGCGAAUGGG
rnacentral:rRNA from 1 species